rnacentral:rRNA from 1 species
UGGGGAAUAUUGCGCAAUGGACGAAAGUCUGACGCAGCAACGCCGCGUGAGUGAUGAAGGCCUUCGGGUUGUAAAGCUCUUUCGGCCGGGAAGAAGGGGCAUUGUUUUAAUAGAGCAGUGUUUUGAUGGUACCGGAAGAAGAAGCACCGGCUAACUUCGUGCCAGCAGCCGCGGUAAUACGAAGGGUGCGAGCGUUGUUCGGAAUUAUUGGGCGUAAAGGGUUCGUAGGCUGGAAUUUAAGUCAAGUGUGAAAUCCCCGAGCUUAACUUGGGACGUGCAUUUGAAACUGGGUUUCUUGAGUAUCGGAGAGGGUGGUGGAAUUGCUGGUGUAGGAGUGACAUCCGUAGAGAUCAGCAGGAACACCGGAGGCGAAAGCGACUGCCUGGACGAGAACUGACGCUGAGGAACGAAAGCGUGGGGAGCAAACAGG